GGGGGUGAGCAAUGGGGUCCCAGGGCUGUGGGGUCCUGCUGCUGCAGCCGCUCUGUGGGGCAGGGAUGAGGGGGUCACAGGUCAUGGGGUCACAGGUCAGGGGUCGUAGGUCAUGGGGUCACUGGGUGAGCAGUGGGGUCCCAGGGCUGCGCAGUCCUGCUGCUGCAGCUGCUCUGUGGGGUCAGAGGUCACGGGGUCAUAGGUCACAGGGUGAGCACAGGGGUGCCAGGGCUGUGGGGUCCUGCUGCUGCAGCCGCUCUAUGGGGCAGGGGUCAGGGGUCAGGGGUCAUGGGGUGAGCAGUGGGGUCACAGAGACGUGGGGUGAUGGGAACGCAGUGAGGGAUAUGGGCUGUGGGGUGGGGUCACGGGGUCACAGGGUCAGCAGGUCACGGGGUCAGGAGGUCACGGGGUCACAGGGUCAGGAGGUCAUGGGGUCACGGGGUCAGGAGGUCACGGGGUCAGGAGGUCGCGGGGUCGCGGGCGCCCACCCCUCAGUUUGCGCAGUGACGCCUCCACCUCCGUCUCAAUCAGCGGGAAGUCCUGCCGGCUGGGGCACCUGCGGGCACCCCAUAGCGCCCCAUAGCACCCCAUAGCGCCCCAUAGUGCCCCACAGUGCCCCAUAGCACCCCACAGAGCCCCACAGUGCCCCACAGCACCCUAUAGCGCCCCACAGCACCCCAUAGCGCCCCACAGUGCCCCAUAGCAUCCCACA
rnacentral:lncRNA from 1 species